GAUGAAGAACGCAGCGAAAUGCGAUACGUAAUGUGAAUUGCAAAUUCAGUGAAUUAUCGAGUCUUUGAACGCACAUUGCGCCCCCUGGUAUUCCGGGGGGCAUGCCUGUCCGAGCGUCAUUGCUGCCCUCAAGCACGGCUUGUGUGUUGGGCCCCGUCCUCCGAUCCCGGGGGACGGGCCCGAAAGGCAGCGGCGGCACCGCGUCCGGUCCUCGAGCGUAUGGGGCUUUGUCACCCGCUCUGUAGGCCCGGCCGGCGCUUGCCGAUCAACCCAAAUUUUUAUCCAGGUUGACCUCGGAUCAGGUAGGGAUACCCGCUGAACUUAAGCAUAUCAAUAAGCGGAGGA
rnacentral:misc_RNA from 1 species